AAAACAGUUGAAGGAGAUGGUGCUGGCUCUUUUGAACGAAUCUGAUUUGAUUCUUUCAGAUGAUAUUGUUGAAAUGAUUGUGGACAAGACAUUCAUGGAAGCAUAUAGAAAAGCAGAUGGCAGGAUUGACGAAGAAGAGUGGAAGGAAUACGUAGCAGAUAAUCCUUCUCUACUGAAAAACAUGACUCUUCCAUACUUGAUGGACAUAUCUCUAACAUUUCCCAG